rnacentral:rRNA from 1 species
UACGAAGGGGGCUAGCGUUGCUCGGAAUCACUGGGCGUAAAGCGCACGUAGGCGGACUCUUAAGUCGGUGGUGAAAUCCUGGAGCUCAACUCCAGAACUGCCUUCGAUACUGAGAGUCUCGAGUCCGGGAGAGGUGAGUGGAACUGCGAGUGUAGAGGUGAAAUUCGUAGAUAUUAGGAAGAACACCGGUGGCGAAGGCGGCAUCCUGGACCGAGAUUGACACUGAUGAGCGAAAGCUAGGGGAGCAAACGGG